rnacentral:rRNA from 1 species
CCUACGGGAGGCAGCAGUGAGGAAUAUUGGUCAAUGGGGGCAACCCUGAACCAGCCAUGCCGCGUGAAGGAAGAAGGCCCUAAGGGUUGCAAACUCCUUUUGCACUGGGGUAAAAUGCGGGACGUGUCCCGUUUUGCAAGUACAGUGCGAAUAAGCAUCGGCUAACUCCGUGCCAGCAGCCGCGGUAAU